rnacentral:misc_RNA from 1 species
UUUCCGUAGGUGAACCUGCGGAAGGAUCAUUAAAGAGAUCACGCCCUCACGGGUAGACCUCCCACCCUUUGUUUACAAUACCUUUGUUGCUUUGGCGGGCCCGUUUGGCCCCGCGCUGAACAACCGGCCCCGGCUGGUCAGUGCCCGCCAGAGAACCGAAAACUCUGAAUUAAAUGUCGUCUGAGUACUAUGUAAUAGUUAAAACUUUCAACAACGGAUCUCUUGGCUCUC